rnacentral:rRNA from 1 species
GUGGUGGAGCAUGUGGUUUAAUUCGAAGAUACACGAAGAACCUUACCUGGCCUUGACAUGGUAGGAACCCUUAAGAGAUUAGGGGUGCUAGCUUGCUAGAACCUACACACAGGUGCUGCACGGCUGUCGUCAGCUCGUGUCGUGAGAUGUUGGGUUAAGUCCCGCAACGAGCGCAACCCUCGUCCUUAGUUGCUAACAGUUCGGCUGAGCACUCUAGGGAGACUGCCUUCGCAAGGAGGAGGAAGGUGAGGACGACGUCAAGUCAUCAUGGCCCUUACGGCCAGGGCUACACACGUGCUACAAUGGGCGGUACAAAGGGCUGCGAACCCGCGAGGGGGAGCGAAUCCCAAAAAGCCGCUCUCAGUUCGGAUUGCAGGCUGCAACUCGCCUGCAUGAAGCCGGAAUCGCUAGUAAUCGCGGAUCAGCAUGCCGCGGUGAAUACGUUCCCGGGCCUU